UGCAAAGGGGUCGUGACCGCGGCCUCUUUGGGUGCACCGAACGCAACCAGUCCUCUCGCUUCUGCUGUUCGAGGUGGUCCUCUUCAUCGCUGGAUGCUGGCAACGGAAUGGAAGUGAUACCGCCGACUUUGGGAGAUCCCCUCGCGGGGAGCGUUCCGGUACUCCUGUAAGGUGACUCGGAGAAGGAACGGUGCCGGGGGACGUGACGACGUUCAGUGAUCAGGAAGGAACUGAUGCGACGGCCAGUGGCGUGGGGCGGCCGAGCGGUGAAUCGCAAGACACGAAGCAACAGCUAGAUUGACGGAUUUAAACUUCGCGCCGCGGUGCAUUGAGAUCUCAGCCGGCGAUAUCCUGCUCUUCUUCCCCGCCUAGGCGCGCGAAGCGGCGGACAGCUUGCCGGCGGCGCAGUUUUAUUUGUGCGCCGGUGCAAGCGGGCCACUUUGGCGCGACCUUCCCCUCUCUUCAUCCAAAAUGCAUGCGUCGCCGCCGUGUCGACCUUGCUGGGAGGGUGACGUCAGGCCGGCGCCGACCAUUCGGAUGACAGCGGGCCGGUGUCACCCACCGUCAUCGGCGAGGGCGGCCGGUGUCACCCACCGUCAUCGGCGAGGGCAGCCGGAAAUCAUCCACACGAAAUUGUUUGCUGCAUUGGUCGCUGAAAUGAACCCGCCGUGGCGACCCACACGCCUCGAGGGCUCCGGCGGUGAAGCUCUGGACCCGGAGCGGCCACCACCACCACCACUGCCCCGUCGCACCGCCCCGUCACACCGUCGCAUCGCACCGAUUCGUCACGCCGCGCCGCGCCACGCCGUCACGUCGAAACGAAAUGACGGCGCAGCCGAGGGGUAAUGAGCGAAAAGUAGUGGUCCGGUGGAUCCGCGGGGAGCGGACGGGCGAGGCAGAAGGAAUCGCAAUGGUGAUGGGGCAAGGGCGGCGAUACACGAUUAUAGAAACACCGAGGGGGGUACACGUGUCACACACACAAUAGGCUUCAAAGCUAUAUAAUAGGGUGGUGGUACAAAUAUCAUGCCCUCCACCUUCCAUAUUAUAGGAACACCGAGGGGAUAUACAUGUGUCACACACACGCAAUAGGCUGCAAGCUACGAGCCAUAAUAUUAGAGGGUGGGGUACAAAUAUCAUGACCGGGGUACAAAAAAAAAUCCCAUGAGAUCUGUGAAUGUGUUGCUGUGGUGUGGUUCUUAUGUGGAACCUUACGAGGGUGCCAUGAUAUUUGUACCCCCGAUACAACACACUCCAUACAACAUACAU